rnacentral:rRNA from 1 species
GAUUAACGCUGGCGGCGUGCCUAACACAUGCAAGUCGAGCGGCAGCGAGUUUUACACUGAAUUCUGGAAGCUUCUAGUUGAAAGAGAAGAUUUAUUCAAGAAUUUUGUGUAAAAUGUCGGCGAGCGGCGGACGGCUGAGUAACGCGUGGGAACGUACCCCAAAGUGAGGGAUAACGCAUCGAAGGGUGUGCUAAUACCGCAUAUGGUCUUCGGAUUAAAGCCUUCGGGCGCUUUGGGAACGGCCUGCGUAAGAUUAGAUAGUUGGUGGGGUAAUGGCCUACCAAGUCGACGAUCUUUAACUGGUUUGAGAGGAUGAUCAGUCAGACUGGAACUGAGACACGGUCCAGACUCCUACGGGAGGCAGCAGUGAGGAAUCUUCCACAAUGGGCGAAAGCCUGAUGGAGCAACGCCGCGUGCAGGAUGAAGGCCUUCGGGUUGUAAACUGCUUUUAUAAGUGAGGAUUAUGACAGUAACUUAUGAAUAAGGAUCGGCUAACUACGUG